rnacentral:rRNA from 1 species
UACGUAGGGCGCAAGCGUUGUCCGGAAUUAUUGGGCGUAAAGAGCUCGUAGGCGGCUUGUCACGUCGGUUGUGAAAGCCCGGGGCUUAACCCCGGGUCUGCAGUCGAUACGGGCUAGCUAGAGUGUGGUAGGGGAGAUCGGAAUUCCUGGUGUAGCGGUGAAAUGCGCAGAUAUCAGGAGGAACACCGGUGGCGAAGGCGGAUCUCUGGGCCGAUACUGACGCUGAGGAGCGAAAGCGUGGGGAGCGAACAGG